GGAUGAACGCUAGCGGGAGGCUUAACACAUGCAAGUCGAGGGGCAGCAUAGGGUAGCAAUACUCUGAUGGCGACCGGCAAACGGGUGAGUAACGCGUAUGUAACCUACCCUGUACAGGGGGAUAACCCGGAGAAAUUCGGACUAAUGUCCCAUAACAAUAUCCGGGGGCAUCUUUGGAUAUUUAAAGUUCCGGCGGUACGGGAUGGGCAUGCGUAACAUUAGCUAGUUGGUAAGGUAACGGCUUACCAAGGCUUUGAUGUUUAGGGGUCCUGAGAGGGUGGUCCCCCACACUGGUACUGAGACACGGACCAGACUCCUACGGGAGGCAGCAGUGAGGAAUAUUGGUCAAUGGGCGCAAGCCUGAACCAGCCAUCCCGCGUGCAGGAAGACGGCGCUAUGCGUUGUAAACUGCUUUUCCAGGGAGAGAAACUUGCGCACGUGUUGCGCAAUUGACGGUACCCUGGGAAUAAGCAUCGGCUAACUCCGUGCCAGCAGCCGCGGUAAUACGGAGGAUGCGAGCGUUAUCUGGAUUCAUUGGGUUUAAAGGGUGCGUAGGCGGACUAUUAAGUCAGUGGUGAAAUCCUGCAGCUUAACUGCAGANCUGCCAUUGAUACUGAUAGCCUUGAGUUUGGUUAAGGUAGGCGGAAUGUGUAAUGUAGCGGUGAAAUGCUUAGAUAUUACACAGAACACCAAUUGCGUAGGCAGCUUACUGAGCCGACACUGACGCUGAGGCACGAAAGCGUGGGGAUCGAACAGGAUUAGAUACCCUGGUAGUCCACGCCGUAAACGAUGAUUACUCGCUGUUGGCGAUACACUGUCAGCGGCUAAGCAAAAGCAAUAAGUAAUCCACCUGGGGAGUACGGCCGCAAGGUUAAAACUCAAAGGAAUUGACGGGGGCCCGCACAAGCGGAGGAGCAUGUGGUUUAAUUCGAUGGUACGCGAGGAACCUUACCUGGGUUAGAACGUAUGAUAAAUGUAGCUGAAAGGUUACAGUCCUGCAAGGGAUAUCAUACGAGGUGCUGCAUGGUUGUCGUCAGCUCGUGCCGUGAGGUGUUUGGUUAAGUCCAGCAACGAGCGCAACCCCUACCUUUAGUUGCCAGCAGGUAAAGCUGGGGACACUAGAGGGACUGCCUGCGCAAGCAGAGAGGAAGGUGGGGAUGACGUCAAAUCAGCACGGCCCUUAUGUCCAGGGCUACACACGUGCUACAAUGGUAACUACAGAGAGCAGCGACUAGGCGACUAGGAGCAAAUCUCGAAAAGUUAUCUCAGUUCGGAUUGGAGUCUGCAACUCGACUCCAUGAAGGUGGAUUCGCUAGUAAUCGCGCAUCAGCAAUGGCGCGGUGAAUACGUUCCCGGGCCU
rnacentral:rRNA from 1 species